UACGGGGGGGGCAAGCGUUGUUCGGAAUUACUGGGCGUAAAGGGCGCGUAGGCGGCCUUCUAAGUCGGACGUGAAAUCCCUCGGCUUAACCGAGGAACUGCGUCCGAUACUGGAUGGCUUGAAUCCGGGAGAGGGAUGCGGAAUUCCAGGUGUAGCGGUGAAAUGCGUAGAUAUCUGGAGGAACACCGGUGGCGAAGGCGGCAUCCUGGACCGGCAUUGACGCUGAUGAGCGAAAGCCAGGGGAGCAAACGGG
rnacentral:rRNA from 1 species